rnacentral:rRNA from 1 species
UACGUAGGGUGCGAGCGUUGUCCGGAAUUACUGGGCGUAAAGAGCUCGUAGGCGGUUUGUCGCGUCGUCUGUGAAAUUCUGCAGCUUAACUGCAGGCGUGCAGGCGAUACGGGCAGACUUGAGUACUACAGGGGAGACUGGAAUUCCUGGUGUAGCGGUGAAAUGCGCAGAUAUCAGGAGGAACACCGGUGGCGAAGGCGGGUCUCUGGGUAGUAACUGACGCUGAGGAGCGAAAGCGUGGGGAGCGAACAGG